CUGGUCCAGGACCCUUGGGACCAAACAAUUGCUCGCCCAGGCUUCCCUAGAAUCCUCUUCCCUUUCACCUCCACCCUGUACCUCGACCUCCAAGGUGAGCUGUCGCACAGAACACAGAACGAGGAAAGCGCUGGAUUUGGGAUGGACAAGCUGAGCCCACCAACCUGGCCCCAGGUUGGUCUCUUCCGGGCUGCUGGAUACCCACAGCACUGUACCUCAUGCAACAGACAGAAUGAGACAAGAGAAAUUCCACGUGAUUGUAAAUGACUUUUACGCUGCAGGCAUGACAGUAAAAGAACAAGACUUUUUUUUUUUUUAAGAAUUUCCUUUUUAUCUUAAAAGUCAUUU